AUUGAACGCUGGCGGCAUGCUUUACACAUGCAAGUCGAACGGCAGCGCGGGCUUCGGCCUGGCGGCGAGUGGCGAACGGGUGAGUAAUGCAUCGGAACGUGCCCAGUAGUGGGGGAUAGCCCGGCGAAAGCCGGAUUAAUACCGCAUACGACCUGAGGGUGAAAGCGGGGGAGCGAAAGACCUCGCGCUAUUGGAGCGGCCGAUGUCGGAUUAGCUAGUUGGUGGGGUAAAGGCUUACCAAGGCGACGAUCCGUAGCUGGUCUGAGAGGACGACCAGCCACACUGGGACUGAGACACGGCCCAGACUCCUACGGGAGGCAGCAGUGGGGAAUUUUGGACAAUGGGGGCAACCCUGAUCCAGCCAUGCCGCGUGCGGGAAGAAGGCCUUCGGGUUGUAAACCGCUUUUGUUCGGGAAGAAAUCCUCUGGGCUAAUACCCCGGUGGGAUGACGGUACCGGAAGAAUAAGCACCGGCUAACUACGUG
rnacentral:rRNA from 1 species